CUGUGAGCUCUCUGUCUUUCCCUCCUCACAGUGGAACUGCUCAUUCUCAUGAGAAUUAAUUAAAUAAAGAACUUUUCUGCUUUUUACUUCGAGAGGUCUCUGAGUAGUCAUUUUUGGAUAGGAUUUUCUGUCCCUCACAGUUUUGGGGGCUCGGUCUGGGAUGAGUCUUUGGGGAGACGGCUGCGCAUCCUGAACGGGGAUAGGUGCACUCAUGGCUAGUUUUUUCGUGGUCUCUGGCUCUGAAUGUGUAGCCUCCCUCCCCCUCUGAUAAAGGACCUGAGGCAGAGAUACUCAGUGAAAAGCAGAACUGAAGACAAAAAGGAGAAAUAGGGCCCUGACGGGCUGGCAGCAGUCUGAAAAGAAAGCAUGUGUUCUUGAGGUGAGCUUAGGAAGUCCAAGGGUCUAUUGGCUGGGUGGAGGGAGACAUGAGGGAUUAGCCCUCCUAAAAAUUGCUUUGGUGGACUGCUAUUGACCCCAAUGAUAAAGGACUUUCUAAGGAGGCUCUCUUGGGUGAUUGCGGGGUGUGAGGGUAACGAAGGACCUCUGCUAACAAUUUGGUUGGAAACCAAGUUGUAAAAAUUGGGCAGAAGCAGUCCAAAGAUUUAUAUCAGGAUGUUAGCUAGGAAAUUAAAAAAAAAAAAAAAAUAGAGCUCUGUGUCUGUCUGUGUAUGUUUGUCUGCUUUGCAUUCUGUUCUGUGUUAAAAGUUAGCAAGCUUAUAAGAGAUAAGAAUUCAGCCUCUGUGUUGCAGGCUUCAUUUAGAAUAGUAAUUCUUUCAGAGUGGGUUAGGUAAGAAAAAGAAGUUUGAAAAAUCUUUUUCUCUCUCUCCAUCUACCUCUAGCUAACAGCUUCAGCUUUGUGGGAGAAGGGGGAGGAGGGAGAAAAGGGGGAAAAUACAAAAACAUAGAUUGUCUGGAAAGUUUUGAGAAAAUAGAAGAACAGUGGCUAUCACUCCUGUAAACAAGGAGCCUGUUAUCAGGACUCAGGCCAGAGGAAAAAAAUGUUCAAGGUAAAGCAAGGAUUUGGUGCUUAACUCUUUCCUGGCUUACUAAAGAAGUUUGAAUGGAAUAUCUAGAUAGAUUUCAGGAAAUCUCAUGAACGAAAAUAUGGGUUAAUUUUAAAAUAACUUUAAAUUGGUAUGGGUAUUAAGAUUAGAAACAAGAAACUGCAGAUAUUGGAAGGGAGGAAUAAAAAUAGAGUAAGAGAGGUAAAUAGUUGAACACAGGGGCUCUCUGACUUGUUGGACCUGUGGGAAAACUAAGUGUGUUUCUAAAAACUGUGCCAAGAGAAGAAAGAAAAAUCAUUAUUAGCAAGUUUGCUUUCAUGGAAUUAGAGAACAGAAAGUUUAAGAAGACUAAACUGGGUAACUGUUUGUUUGCAACAUUUGAUUAAGAGUUUUGGGAACUUACUAUAUUUUAAAGAGAAGAGAAGAAAAAGAUUCAGAGCCUUGGUGCUCAGGAGCAUAAAGAAGAGCAUUGGUUCCUACCCGAUGGCAGAGAGGUACUGACCACAGCAGGUUUUGCAGUACAUAAAUUCCAGUCUGGAGACUGGGUCCUGGUUCAGAUGUAGAAGGACAACAAGCUGACCCCAACCUGGGAAGGACUGUUCCAGAUUCUCCUGACAUCAGGCACAGCAGUGCUACACAGGAAAGAGGGUAGACUCAGCAUACCAGAAUUAAAGGACUGGUGGACACUCAGAGAAUGUGGACUUCCAAACUAAAUCCAGAGAACAACCUGAGACAAACGUUAAAAAGCACCUGAUGAAUUGUGCAUGUAAAAUCUUACUAGCAGUAUUGAUCUGGGGUACUAUACUGGGGCUUUUUCUAACAGUGUUAGAUAUUAUUUUCUGUUGAACAGUGUUACUUCGACUCAGAAAUUUGACUUGCUAUUCAGUAGAAUGGGGGCCAAACAAAACACACAGAGAAGGGGAUUGUGCUUUCUAUCCUUAUGCAUAACACUACCCCUUGCUGGAACAAUCCCUAAUCCUUUGCUGAAGGAAGGCAAUAGUUUCCAGAACUUGAUUCAGGUUAUUGCUGAUACAUUUUAUCUCAAAAACUGCUGGAUAUGUGGGGGACCCAAACAACUCACACAAUGGUCCUGAGUACCUGUCCCUUUAUUUCCAGCCUGGAUAUUGAGUAAUAGAUCAAUUGUACACGAUGGGACAGGAUUUUGGUCAUUUCAGGAGGACCGUCAGUGGAAACUAACUAAUGCUGUCCCAGAAGGGCAUUGUUUAAAUCAAACAGGCACAGGGCCUUGGAUGGGAGAAAGCAAAUACGAAUGGACUUUUACCCACCGGCCAGAGAAGGUAGAUAUUAUAGAUUGUAGUAAAUAUAAAAAUAGAUGGAAUAAAACAAAUGUUGUUUGUGAUGAUGGGUCAGUGAUUAAAUGUACUCAUCAACAUGCAGUAGAGGGUAGUGAAGAAUGCUUGAAGGAAUUUAAAAAGAAACCAACUUGUCAAAUACCCCAAGAUUUAUGGAGAUGUUUAAGGUUAAAUAGUACAAAGCCAGGUACUGCUAGUACUAUAAUGGGAUGGAAGCUAGGGGUAUAGGAGAAAUUACAAAAGGCAUUCGCAGAAUAGUUCAUGUGCCUGUACAGGUGUGGAAAUCCCCUUUUUCUAAUAGUUGGUGGUCCUGGGUUGAUGGUAGCUGGUGGAAACAACUUUUAUGGUAUGGACUAAUUGCAAUCAGUGGUAUUAUAUUGUUACCAUUAUGUUUACCCUGUAUAAUUACAUUAAUAACCAGAAUAGUCCAACGAUCCCUAUCGAAAUUGCAUCCAAAGGAGGCUAUUAAAAUGAGGAUUCUCCAGAAAACAGGCUGGAGGGUGCUGGAAAGAGAUAAUUCUGACAGUGAACUUGAUAAACAAUGUGUAAGAGCCUGUUAACUGACUCUGAGCAAUGUGUAAGUUCUUCAUAGAAAAUAUGAUAAAAAUCAUUUAUAUAUUAGAAGGGGGGAGUUGAGUGGAGUAGAGAUAAAGUGAAGAACUUCCAAGAAUGUUUAAAUUCCUUUUCUGCAUUUUAGUUUCUCUAGGUCUCUGUGACCUGCAUAAGUAUGUUGAGUAUUAGCCAAUAUGUACUUAGAUUUUAGAUAUAUGUAUUUAACCUAAAAUGAUGACAUUUAUCGCUGUUCAAGUUAUCAAUGUUUAGACAACUAUAUGCCUGAUGUAUGGUUCCUCCUGGAACCAGGGAAUCUGCUGUUUUUGGCGCGAAUAACAUCCAAUUAAAGGGGGGGGGGCACCUAUCUCUUAAUGUUCCCCCAACCCAUGAUGUAAUCCUUUGUAACUAAAACCUAUAAAAACUGUAUAUCUUCUCCUAGUUCUUUAGCUCUUCUACUGUGAGCUCUCUGUCUUUCCCUCCUCACAGUGGAACUGCUCAUUCUCAUGAGAAUUAAUUAAAUAAAGAAUUUUUCUGCUUUUUACUUCGAGA
rnacentral:lncRNA from 1 species